UACAACAAAACUACGGCUAAAAAUACAACGCCAGCUUUGCUUGAUCAUUCCAACAAGGUACAAAUAUGGCGACCCGAAGGAAAAUGGAGCAUCAACGUUUAAAGACUUCAUUUUGUGAUAAGAUUUGCUGAUGCUUCUAACAGGGUUACGAGCCACGUAGCUUGUGUAUAUACAAGUUAUUAUUAUGUAAACAGUAUUUACGACCACGUUACCCAGCAGUCUUUUUCUUCUGAAACACCAGUGCGACAACGAAAAUGAAACCGACAAUAAUGAGGACUAUGCAAAAAUUUCUUGGCUAUUCUGAAUGACUGAAAUUAAUAAGUAAAUGAUUAAACUCUUCUCGGGACAUAGAUUUGUCUUCUGAAAACUUUCAAACAAUAUUUUUACGAAAUAGUCGUUAAUUUGCAAUACUUUCAUGUGUUUUACUGUUUCUUUUUAUGAGGACAUGUCCUUUUUCAAGACGAUAUGUUUUAAGAAACGAAGCAUGUAAUCUAUAAAUAACAUUCUCUCUUAAUAAUAAUUCACUUUUAGCCUGUCCCCUUGUCCCACUUUUAACUAUUUGCUAAUUUAUUUCGGUCAUUCAAAAUAGCCAAGUUAUUCUUAUACAUUUCUCAUUAUUAUUGGUUUCAUUGUUUAUUGUAGGACCUUUUAUAUUCAUUUUUUUAAUGCAAUAAGAUGUCAUUUGAAGUGUGAGUAGGUUCUUUUUGUUGCUGAUGCUUGUGCAGCCAGUCAUUGUUGAUAAGACUAAGGAACAGUAACAACAUGAGAAAAGAAGAGAUUAGUGA